UACGGGGGGGGCAAGCGUUGUUCGGAAUUACUGGGCGUAAAGGGCUCGUAGGCGGCCAUCUAAGUCAGACGUGAAAUCCCCAGGCUCAACCUGGGAACUGCGUCUGAUACUGGAUGGCUUGAAUCCGGGAGAGGGAUGCAGAAUUCCAGGUGUAGCGGUGAAAUGCGUAGAUAUCUGGAGGAACACCGGUGGCGAAGGCGGCGUCCUGGACCGGCAUUGACGCUGAGGCGCGAAAGCCAGGGGAGCAAACGGG
rnacentral:rRNA from 1 species